rnacentral:tRNA from 1 species
GGGGCCAUAGCUCAGCUGGGAGAGCGCGUCGUUCGCAAUGACGAGGUCAGGAGUUCGAUC